rnacentral:rRNA from 1 species
UGAGUAACCUGCCCUUAACUCUGGGAUAAGCCUGGGAAACUGGGUCUAAUACCGGAUAUGACUCCUCAUCGCAUGGUGGGGGGUGGAAAGCUUUUUGUGGUUUUGGAUGGACUCGCGGCCUAUCAGCUUGUUGGUGAGGUAAUGGCUCACCAAGGCGACGACGGGUAGCCGGCCUGAGAGGGUGACCGGCCACACUAGGACUGAGACACGGCCAGACUCCUACGGGAGGCAG